UACGUAGGGUGCAGGCGUUAAUCGGAAUUACUGGGCGUAAAGCGUGCGCAGGCGGUUUCUUAAGUCAGAUGUGAAAGCCCCGGGCUUAACCUGGGAACUGCGUUUGAAACUGGGAGACUUGAGUGUGGCAGAGGGGGGUGGAAUUCCACGUGUAGCAGUGAAAUGCGUAGAGAUCGGGAGGAACACCAGAGGCGAAGGCGGCGACCUGGACAGUUACUGACACUCAACUACGAAAGCGUGGGGAGCAAACAGG
rnacentral:rRNA from 1 species